rnacentral:rRNA from 1 species
AGUGAACGCUGGCGGUAGGCCUAACACAUGCAAGUCGAACGGCAGCACAGUAAGAGCUUGCUCUUACGGGUGGCGAGUGGCGGACGGGUGAGGAAUACAUCGGAAUCUACUUUUUCGGGGGGGAUAACGGAGGGAAACUUUCGCCAACAACGGAUUCCACCUUCGGGUGAAAGCCGGGGGUUUUCUGACCUUGGCCGGUUUGAUGGGCCGAUGUCGGAUUUGCUAGGUGGCGGGGUAAAGGCCCACCAAGGCGACGAUCCGUAGCUGGUCUGAGAGGGUGAUCAGCCACACUGGAACUGAGACACGGUCCAGACUCCUACGGGAGGCAGCAGUGGGGAAUAUUGGACAAUGGGCGCAAGCCUGAUCCAGCCAUACCGCGUGGGUGAAGAAGGCCUUCGGGUUGUAAAGCCCUUUUGUUGGGAAAGAAAAGCAGCAGGUUAAUACCCCGCUGUUCUGACGGUACCCAAAGAAUAAGCACCGGCUAACUUCGUG